rnacentral:rRNA from 1 species
UGGUGCCAGCAGCCGCGGUAAUUCCAGCUCCAAUAGCGUAUAUUAAAGUUGUUGCAGUUAAAAAGCUCGUAGUUGAAUUUCGGGAUUAGUACGUUGGUCGUGCCUUCGGUACGUACUGGUGUUACUGAUUCCUACCUUCUGACGAACCAUCAUGUCAUUAAUUUGGUGUGGUGGGGAAUCAGGACUGUUACUUUGAAAAAAUUAGAGUGUUUAAAGCAGGCUCGCGCUUGAAUACAUUAGCAUGGAAUAAUGAAAUAGGACGUUGACCCUAUUUUGUUGGUUUCUAGGAUUGACGUAAUGAUUAAUAGGGAUAGUUGGGGGCAUUAGUAUUCAAUUGUCAGAGGUGAAAUUCUUGGAUUUAUUGAAGACUAACUACUGCGAAAGCAUUUGCCAAGGAUGUUUUCAUUAAUCAAGAACGAAAGUUAGGGGAUCGAAGACGAUCAGAUACCGUCGUAGUCUUAACCAUAAACUAUGCCGACUAGGGA